UGUGCCGAGAGGUGAAAGUAAUUCGCCUGAAGAGGAGCUCGCGUCUGAUUAGCUAGUUGGUGGAGUAAAAGCCUACCAAGGCGACGAUCAGUAGCUGGUCUGAGAGGAUGAGCAGCCACACUGGGACUGAGACACGGCCCAGACUCCUACGGGAGGCAGCAGUGGGGAAUUUUCCGCAAUGGGCGAAAGCCUGACGGAGCAAUACCGCGUGAGGGAGGAAGGUUCAAGUAUUGUAAACCUCUUUUAUCAGGGAAGAAAAAUGACGGUACCUGAUGAAAAAGCAUCGGCUAACUCCGUGCCAGCAGCCGCGGUAAUACGGAGGAUGCAAGCGUUAUCCGGAAUUAUUGGGCGUAAAGCGUCCGCAGGUGGUAGUACAAGUCUGCUGUCAAAGACCAGAGCUUAACUCUGGGCAGGCGGUGGAAACUGUAAUACUAGAGACCGGUAGGGGUAGAGGGAAUUCCCAGUGUAGCGGUGAAAUGCGUAGAGAUUGGGAAGAACACCAGUGGCGAAGGCGCUCUACUGGGCCGGAACUGACACUAAGGGACGAAAGCUAGGGGA
rnacentral:rRNA from 1 species